rnacentral:tRNA from 1 species
UAGCUCAGUCUGUCAGAGCGUGAUGCUGAUGACAACAAGGUCACGGGUUCGAUCCCUGU